UCCUCACCAGGACACAGGUGCUGCUGCUGCUGGUUUUGUUUGAUAUCUCAAUCACCAUGGCCUGGAGUUUCCGCAACUGAUCUAGAAGGGACCUAGAGAAAGAGAGGAGACAGUGGAAUCCUUUCUACAGCAUUCCGUGGCUGUCUGAAUGCCUCCAAGGACCAGGUGUUAACACCCUUACAAGCCAAACAAUUUUAUUUUAAAAAAAUUAAAAAAUAAUAAAAAAAACUUCCAUCCUGAACUAA